GACGAACGCUGGCGGCGUGCCUAAUACAUGCAAGUCGAACGCAGUGGGGACGGGUGAGUAACACGUGGGUAACCUCCCAUCAGAGGGGAUAACACUUGGAAACAGGCGCUUAAUCGAUACUGAUGGAUGGUCUCGCGGUGCAUUAGCUAGUUGGUGAGGUAACGGCUCACCAAGGCCACGAUGCAUAGCCGACCGGAGCGGGUGAUAGGCCACACUGGGACUGAGACACGGCCCAGACUCCUACGGGAGGCAGCAGUAGGGAAUCGUCGGCAAUGGACGAAAGUCUGACCGAGCAACGCCGCGGUGAUGAAGAAGGUUUUCGGAUCGUAAAACUCUGUUGUUAGAGAGGCGGUAUCUAACCAGAAAGCCACGGCUAACUACGGGCCAGCAGCCGCGGUAAUUC
rnacentral:rRNA from 1 species